CUUUCUGAUAUCGAGUCAUACACUCGAAUGCGCCUCUCCUUUAGAACAACAACAGUCAACACCUAACCAUCACAAUUGACUAAGAUGAACACUUCGUCGACCAAAUGUCAAGGUAAGCUAGCUGGAAUGCUAAGUCCUUUGAUGAUGUUGCUUAAAUCUUUCUCAUUUCGAGGAACUUCCAGUUGUUGUUUAUAAUACUUAUUGUAGGCCUUAUCGAUGUAUAAUUUGAACAAACAGUUGGUUGUUGUGUAUCUAUAUUAGUAUUAUGUUUGCAACUUAGACUUCUUUUAGAGGUGGUAAAAAAUGACAUCGAUGUACUGCAUAUAUUAUCAAACAUUAAAAUUAUAUAAUAAUAAAAUUAUUAUAUGUGUUAAUGUCAUAUUUUUACAAGAAGAAUUGUAACAAUCAAUAUUUUUAAAAAUAAUUUAUGUACCUAUUGGCAUGAACGUUUAACGGCCCAUCGUCAAACCAUUCUGAAUAAAUACUGAUCAACUUUGUUAGAGUCUCGUCCGAGAUGCUCAACUCUUUAAAUGGAUAAUUCUUCCAGACUGAUAGGCUUCACUUUUUCUUUCUCUUUGAAAGCAGUUGAUGGACUAUCAACUAUGAUAGUAUGCUGUUAUGCAGUAGCUUCUACUGUCACAUCUACCUGGAAAGCCCAAAUUGUCAAUGCUAAUCACAAAGAUACAAGAAAAUAAAUAGAAAAAGAUAGCUCAUCUGUUGCAACAGAUGGUCCAUCUGUUAGAGAAAAUCAAAUAGGUAUUCCUACUGUUUUAAUUUAUCCCAACAGAUGACCUAUCAAUUGCAACAGAUGGGUCAUCUGUUUGAACAUAUUCAAACAGAAGAAAAACCUGUAUGAUAAGUUCUAACAAAUGACUCAUUUGCUGCAACAGAUGACUCAUCUAUUAAAACAAACUAAAAUAGUAGGAAGACAUAAUUUAAUUUAUCCCAAUAGAUGACCCAUCUACUACAACAGGUGGGUCAUCUGUUGGAAAAAAUUAAAAUAGUAGGAAUACCUGUUUGAUUUUCUCCAACAGAUGAGACAUCUGUUACAAUAGAUAAUGCAUUUGAUGUAAAAAAUAGUCAUCUGUUGCAACAGAUAUCUAUAUAUGUUUGAUAAUUUUCAACAGAUGUGUCAUCUGUUGAAAAAGAUAUGUAAUCUAUUUGUUUGUUCGAACGGAUGAUAAAUAUUCACCUUUUUCAGCUCAUGUUGUUCUCUUGUGGCCCUUGUACAUUGCUUAACAGUGCAAGACAAAGGAGUUGCAAUUUUUCUUUUGUUGAUGCUUGAUAAUGCCUUGGAAAUUGUUUUUUUAUCCUCUUAGCCUUAACCUCUAAUGGAGUCUAUGAAUCUGAAAUCCUCUUUGAUGGAAUGACACCCUUCUUAAAUGUUAAUUCCUUUAUAGUAGUAGUUAAUGCAUUAAUAGCAUUAAUCACUCCAUCAUAUUUCGCAUUUCAAACUUGAAAUUUGUAUGCACAAUAUAAGAUAGGAAAGGAAAGAUCUCCAAAAUAUUGACUACCCUUUUAUGUGAGAAAUCUGUAAUGUGCCCAAUUUAAAGAAGGGGUAUAUCAACCACCAAAAUCGGUAAAACUAGUAUAAUCAUAAUCAUACUAGUUUGUUGUUUCAAAAUAGCAAUAGAAGCAUCAACCAACUUAUCAACACCACCAGCCCAAACAACAGCACCAUCACCACUAUCACCACCAACAGCUCCAUCACAACCACCAUCAUUAGUAGCACCAUCAAUAACAACAAGCCCACCCUUCCAAAGCAUUUUUCUUGUGAUGGUUGUUGCUCCAACUAAUUAAUUUUUUAUUCUAUCAAUUAUCUUAGGAUCCGAUAAAUCAGAAUAAAUCAGUACAUAUAUUAGAAUGAUGAAUAAAUUAUUUAAAUAGAUCAUUAAUUAAAAUAAAAACUUAAUUAGAAUAUGACUUACUGCUUUCUCCAGGGCAUUGAAAAGAUCAAGAAAUUUUAUUUUUUCUCACUUUUGACCGACAACCAUCUCAUGAUUCUUGGACAUGAAACUUUUUCUUGGCAGUUCACUUGUUGUCUUAGAUAAGGAAAGACUUCAAAUACCCAAGCCU
rnacentral:lncRNA from 1 species